rnacentral:lncRNA from 9 species
AGGGACAAGGCUUUCAUCAGUCAUCCCUGGUGGACCCUCCCAAGAAAACCCUAAGGGGUUCCAAGAGCCUCUCAUUGGGGAAGUGUCCACAGUUGGGAGGGUGACGCACCCCGAACUCCACAGAGACUGAAGCUCCUGGAUCCCACCUCUCGCACACCUGGCCCCUACUUCCUCAUCUGCCUGUACAUCCCUUUAGGAUCCACAGCAUCAAGAACAAGUAACCACCUGGAUAAGGGAAGGCUCUGGGACCCAUUCAGGAUGUUAUUGAUGUUUUUGGAGAUGACGUCCAAGAGGAAGAGUUGGCAUUGCAUGGAGAGAUAAUGAGCUGUGUGGUGAUCAGCCCAGGCCUCAGAAGAAGUAGAUAAGGGGCAACCUCAGAGCCCUUCACCCACUGGACGCCACUGAGGUUUGUUAGGGACAGGAUCUCUGGAACAGGCACUACACCCCAUUGUGAUGUCCAGACGCCAGCUGGGUUUCCAGGGGCAACGGGGCUGCCCCAGUUCUGAGCCCAGGGGACCCCAGGAGGCAGAUGUGCUCUGGGGCGUGAGAUCCAUUAAGUCCGCCUCAGGAAAGCUGCAUCCUCCACACUGAAACCACACCGGCAUUAGGACACUCCACCCAGCCUCUGGAAACACCCACCACUGCCUUCUUCUGGAAAGCACCUGCUCUAGUCCCUGGAGACUCGUAUUAGGGCAGAAUCCAACAGAAGAAUUCCGUGGUCAGCAGAGAAAGCCCCAUCUCAGCAUCCAUGGAGCAGGUGCAUCUGAGCACAAGCCUGGUGGACCAGCCGACAAGCCUAAGACAAGGGCACAGGAAGCCUGGGUAUUGCCCACCAACACUCCAUCCAGUUCUCCCAUGGCCUGCCUUGAGGUCUACCAAGCAUUUAAAAGUCACCUUACCUGCCUGGGUCCAGAACCAGUGAGUUCUUAGGACCAGAACUGCACCUCUCAGGGAUCCAACCCAACCCACCCACCCAGCCCAACCCAACCCAGCUUUAUUUUCCCUGGAUGCCAACACCUCUGCCAUUUUUCUCAACACACAGAUUCUUGGUGAAAAUGCACAUGAGUCACAAGGAGAGUUUGUGGCAAUGAAGAUGCCGAGCAAGUCCAGGAGGAGGUUGCGAUUCUGCUUUUUUUAAAUGAGCUCCCAGGUGAUGCUGAUGUCAUAACCCAUGGACCAGACUCUGGACAUCAAGGUUGGGAGCAAAAUAGUGUAUGUCUCAAUAUGUGGGCUUGCUCUGUGCCCAGAGAGAGAGAUGAGCAUGCCUAGCACUUGCCAGCGUGUGCCUUGCAGAGACACUUGUAUGGUAACAUUUAUUGGGGAUUUUUUUUCAGCAUAAGAGUGUAAGGUGGAUGGGUUCAUCUUGGAAAGGACAUUUUUGUAUAAGUUGUAAAACCUGUAUUUUUAUUUUUCUGUUUUUUCCUUUUUUUGUUUUUAAAGUUUUUGUUGUAAUUGAUUUACAAAGCUCUGUCAAUUUCUGCAGUACAGCAAAGUGACCCAGUUUAUAUUCUUCUCAUAUUAUCUUCUAUCAUGUUCCAUCACAAGUGACUAGAUUAGUUCCAUGUGCUAUACAGUAGGACAUCAUUGUCUAACCCCUCCAAAUGCAAUAGUUUGCACCUGGGAACCUCCAUAUGCCGCGGGAGUGGCCCAAGAAAUAGCAACAACAACAACAACAACAACAAAAGACAAAAAGACAAAAGACAAAAAAAAAAAAAAUUCUACUUGGGGAAGAAUAUAUGUUUAUAUCUAUCUCUCUAUUUCUAUAUCUUUGUAUCUGUAACGAUAUGUGUCCCUAAUUUGGGGGAAAAGCUAUAUUUACUAGCCAUGCUAUUAUGUUACUGGAUCUUAUUUUAUUUUAUUUUUUUGGCAGUGCCAAAUGCAUAUGGAAGUUCCUGGGCCAGGGAUCAAAACCUGUGUCAUAGCAGUGACCUGAGACACAACAGUGACAAUGCCAGAUCCUUAACCUGCUGAGCCACAAGGGAACUUCCAGUUAUGUUACCAGAUCUUAAAUAUCUAUUCAAUGAUAGAAGAAAGAUAUAUAUUUAUGUGACAUAUGUUUCUUCUAUUAUUAGAUAUGUAUCAAUUUUAUGUAUGUAUAUUGUAUCUAUAACAGUGAUUAAAAUAGGUCUUUAUAUCUAUAUGUAUGAUACACACACACACACACUCACACAUGCAUCUUUUUGGUAAAGUUUUUUUUUUAAUGAUUUUUAUUUUUUUCCAUUAUAGUUGGUUUACAGUGUUCUAUCAUAAAUGGUAUUUUCAUGCAUAUUAUCCAUUUAAUCAUCCCAAGGAACCCCAAAGAAAACUACUUUAAUCACUGUUUAAUAUAUCUAGUCCCUAACUUUCACAAAACCUAACAGACUUUUCCUACCGGUUCAAGCAAGCAAGGAUAAGACCCUUGAUCUGAAACUAGGUACCCUAAAUCGGUGUUCACCCUAUUCCCUAUGUUCCCCAAGACUCCCUCUCUCAAAACUUCUGAGGAAUCCCUAAUUAUGCUCUCACCCCAAGUAAUUACAGCAGGCUGGAUGCGUACCUUUGCUGCCUAAAUGCAGAAGCAACUCUGAGGAUGCCUAAUGGAUAAGAGAUGUUAUGUUUUUUCCAUCCAUAAAGAAAUUCCUAGGCCUGUGAAAUAAUGUGGAGAAAAGCAAAUAUUUAUUUAGAGCUUCUUGCAUGUCUAGUCCUGCAUCAAAUAUGAUAUCUCAAAGAUAUUGCGAGUGAUUCCUUUUAUCUGCUUCAUAUUGCAGAGGCUGAGACCCAGGCAAAGCCUUUAAACACACACCUAAGGUCAGAGGCAACUUGAACAAGAGAAUCAGUGUUCAGAUUGCCACACUAUAUAACCUUCCCUGAUUUAUGAGCAAGGAACUUCAGACAUGGCCCAACAGAGAGCCAGAUCCCUCUAAACCCAAUGAAAAAUACCAGGUCACAGCACUCAACUUGAAGCAGGCUGGGAAAGAUGAUUUUCUGGAUUCCCCACAUUGAAGAGAAGGCACAAUAACAUCCAGCAACAGUAACACAUUUUUCAGCCUGACUCCUGGGAAUAGCUCACACUGCUGGCACUCUCUCUGGGACAGCAUGGCCUGCAAGAGUUAAGAUGUUUGCAAAUACGACCGGUCUCUGUCUCUCCAUACAGAGCUUUUAUUCAGACCUCACGCUGCCCUUCGUGCUCCGUGUUCCCGUUUCUCCCUCCCCAUAAGACUAUUUACGACACAAACAACGAAUUUCCUCCAAACGGCCGCGUUAGUGAUCCAUCGUCACAUGCCUUCGGGGGCUCAAAUCCGGUUGGGAUUCGAGAAAGCCGAGGCGCCCCAGCACAUCCUCCUGAAUCAUACCUUCGGCCAGGGUUCGCUAGAAUAAUCUGGAUAUAUAAAAAGAACACUGAACAGUCGAAGCCGCUCUUCCACGGCU